rnacentral:rRNA from 1 species
UACGGAGGGGGCUAGGCGUUGUUCGGAAUUACUGGGCGUAAAGCGCACGUAGGCGGCUUUGCAAGUUAGAGGUGAAAGCCCGGGGCUCAACUCCGGAAUUGCCUUUAAAACUGCAUCGCUAGAAUUGUGGAGAGGUAAGUGGAAUUCCGAGUGUAGAGGUGAAAUUCGUAGAUAUUCGGAAGAACACCAGUGGCGAAGGCGACUUACUGGACACAUAUUGACGCUGAGGUGCGAAAGCGUGGGGAGCAAACAGG